rnacentral:lncRNA from 1 species
UGGUGCUUUAACUUUAUACACUUGCCUGGAUGCGAAGCUAAUUGUAGGAUAAUGUUAUGGCGCUGCUUGACUUAGGGUAGUUUUACUGCUAUUUACGGUGUUUUUAUUUAGUUAUUCAGUGUUUAUCAUGUUAUUAUCAGUUUCUUUGUUAGUGGCUAUUAGUGGGGUGGUUAAGCAAGUAACUUAUUGUAAUGGGUAGUUAUUAGUGGGUAGUGGGUAGUUUUAGCUUUACAUUUAGUUGUUUAAAAGGCUGUUAUAUCAGGAAAAAUGUAAGCAGAAUUUUAUGAAAAGGUUUUGAGUUCCUAAAACUCAGAGAUUGUAGAGUUCUCUCUUAACGAGCUCUAGGAGAUUGCAGAUUCUCUCUAAGUCUGUCACCAUUGAUAGAAGGAAGAAAACUCCUUCUAAGAUACCCAUCUCAAACCUGAUUCCCCUAAUUCAAAGACCCAUAACUAGAUCCAAAUUUGGGACCAUAACAAAUUGGUAUCAGAGCCAACAGUUAUGGGCGAAUCUGUUCAAGACCAGCUUACCAAACUCUUCAAUUUACUCUUAUCUGAGCAGCAGGCCAAUCAGACCUAUAAUGAGAAGGUUGAACAACUUCAUGCCAAAUUGGAUGCCAUGUCUUUUGACUUGGAAUCCAUAAAGAAGGGGCUGACUUCCUCAAGUGCUCAAAGUCAAGCACCGAAAGCAAAGGGUCCAAUAGGUUCAGCCUGUCUAGAAUCUCCUAGGGGCACUACAACUGUUUCGAAAUUCACGGAGUUGGAGGUUCUUGGACCACCUAUGAGGAGUAAUAAUUUAGGAAAGUUGGCAAAAUUGGAACAUCCUAAAACUGCCGCAGAGCGAAUAGUUUUCCAGCAAAUGUUUCAAGUCUCAAUAGUUGUGUGUACAGAAGAUAGAGCGGAGCAAAAGAAAGAAAUAAUCAAACAUCAAUUGUUAGCACAAUUGGAGGGUCUUGCUUGUGAUUUGGCAGCCUCUAAAUGGGAAGGGAGUGGGAAGAAGCAAUUCGAGAAUGACAUAGAGGAAACAUUAGAGGAGCCAUUUGAUCCAGGCAUAUUAAUUAAAUAUAGAAGCACAAUAAACAGCUCCUUAUUUGCAGAAUAAUAGAGGGUGAUAAGGAUUCUGUUUGCAUCACAUUUUCACAAGUUGAAGAUUGCAUGUCAUCCAUCCUUUGCGCUUGAGGACAAGCGCUUUUUCGAGGAGGGGUGUAAUGUUAUGGCGCUGCUUGACUUAGGGUAGUUUUACUGCUAUUUACGGUGUUUUUAUUUAGUUAUUCAGUUUUUUAUCAUGUUAUUUUCAGUUUCUUUGUUAGUGGCUAUUAGUGGGGUGGUUAAGCAAGUAACUUAUUGUAAUGGGUAGUUAUUAGUGGGUAGUGGGUAGUUUUAGCUUUACAUUUAGUUGUUUAAAAGGCUGUUAUAUCAGGAAAAAUGUAAGCAGAAUUUUAUGAAAAGGUUUUGAGUUCCUAAAACUCAGAGAUUGUAGAGUUCUCUCUUAAUGAGCUCUAGGAGAUUGCAGAUUCUCUCUAAGUCUGUCACCAUUGAUAGAAGGAAGAAAACUCCUUCUAAGAUACCCAUCUCAAACCCGAUUCCCCUAAUUCAAAGACCCAUAACUAGAUCCAAAUUUGGGACCAUAACAGAUAACUAGGAGAGAUUGAUUGUAUUAAUAAAACUGAUGGAGGACUGUUUCAAAAAUAUGUUGUUUAUGUGGAUUUUCAGAAGUCGAUGGGUUAUGAAGUUUGUGUAUUUGGGGGAAUUAUAUGAAAUUCAUUCUAGCAAAGAAAAGUUCAUGGCUGGUACGGUUGCUGGCUUGUGCUGUCAUAAGUACCUUGGCUUUUUGUUUUCGUUUGAAACUCAUUGAUGUCUGUACAAAUCUGAGUUCUGA